UACGUAGGGUGCAAGCGUUGUCCGGAAUUAUUGGGCGUAAAGAGCUCGUAGGCGGUUUGUCGCGUCGGCUGUGAAAACUCGGGGCUCAACCCCGAGCCUGCAGUCGAUACGGGCAGACUAGAGUGCUGUAGGGGAGACUGGAAUUCCUGGUGUAGCGGUGAAAUGCGCAGAUAUCAAGUGGAACACCGGUGGCGAAGGCGGCCAACUGGACCAUUACUGACGCUGAGGCGCGAAAGCGUGGGGAGCAAACAGG
rnacentral:rRNA from 1 species